ACAGCUUUAAGUUAAAAUAAACUAUACGUCUUCAAAAUGUAAAAUUUUAGGCUGGG
rnacentral:tRNA from 1 species